UACGGAGGAUGCGAGCGUUAUCCGGAUUUAUUGGGUUUAAAGGGAGCGCAGGUGGUUUAUUAAGUCUGGUGUAAAAGGCAGUGGCUCAACCAUUGUAUGCAUUGGAAACUGGUAGACUUGAGUGCAGGAGAGGAGAGUGGAAUUCCAUGUGUAGCGGUGAAAUGCGUAGAUAUAUGGAGGAACACCGGUGGCGAAAGCGGCUCUCUGGCCUGUAACUGACACUGAGGCUCGAAAGCGUGGGGAGCAAACAGG
rnacentral:rRNA from 1 species